rnacentral:lncRNA from 1 species
AGCCGUUCUGGGCGGCAGACAGGCACGGCUUCUCAGGGCCGGUAGUCCGUCCUCCGAGGCUACUUUUCUCUCUUUAUUGCAUCCAAAAAGAAGUACUUUUUUUCUUGGUUUUUAGGCAGAACGAGAGACUGAGAGGCAGAAGAGCUGGAGAUCAAAUGGGUCUCUUCGAUUCUUGAAGGUGCUGCGAUCGAGGAGUAUUCUUUGUUUUGUUUUAGUCCUAUCUGUAAUUUCGUUUUUAUUUUGUUUUGGAUUCUUUGGUACGAGAAAGAAUGGAUGUUCUUGUGGAAUGCCUUCUUCUUACCCUUC